UGAGGAAUAUUGCUCAAUGGGCGAAAGCCUGAAGCAGCAACGCCGCGUGGAGGAUGAAGGCCUUCGGGUUGUAAACUCCUUUUCUGGGAGAAGAGACAAGGACGGUAUCCUAGGAAUAAGUCUCGGCUAACUACGUGCCAGCAGCCGCGGUAAAACGUAGGAGGCUAGCGUUAUCCGGAUUUACUGGGCGUAAAGCGCACGCAGGCGGUUGUGUAAGUCGGACGUGAAAUCUCUCGGCUCAACUGAGAGGAGUCGUUCGAUACUGCGCAACUUGAGGUUGGGAGAGGGAAGCGGAAUUCCCGGUGUAGUGGUGGAAUGCGUAGAUAUCGGGAGGAACACCAGUGGCGAAAGCGGCUUCCUGGCCCACACCUGACGCUCAUGUGCGAAAGCGUGGGGAGCGAACGGGAUUAGAUACCCCGGUAGUCCACGCUGUAAACGAUGCAAACUAGGUGUUGGUGGUAUUGACCCCAUCAGUGCCGAAGCUAACGCGAUAAGUUUGCCGCCUGGGGACUACGGCCGCAAGGCUA
rnacentral:rRNA from 1 species